rnacentral:rRNA from 1 species
UACGUAGGGUGCGAGCGUUGUCCGGAAUUACUGGGCGUAAAGAGCUCGUAGGUGGUUUGUCGCGUUGUUCGUGAAAACUCACAGCUCAACUGUGGGCGUGCGGGCGAUACGGGCAGACUGGAGUACUGCAGGGGAGACUGGAAUUCCUGGUGUAGCGGUGGAAUGCGCAGAUAUCAGGAGGAACACCGGUGGCGAAGGCGGGUCUCUGGGCCGAUACUGACGCUGAGGAGCGAAAGCAUGGGGAGCGAACAGG